rnacentral:tRNA from 1 species
GCUGGGGUAGCCAAGUUUGGCUCAAGGCGCAGGUUUGCUAAACCUGUUCCCGAAAGGGAGCGUGGGUUCAAAUCCCACCCCCAGCG